UACGUAGGGUGCAAGCGUUGUCCGGAAUUAUUGGGCGUAAAGAGCUCGUAGGCGGUCUGUCGCGUCGGAUGUGAAAAUCCAGGGCUCAACCCUGGACCUGCAUUCGAUACGGGCAGACUAGAGUUCGGUAGGGGAGACUGGAAUUCCUGGUGUAGCGGUGAAAUGCGCAGAUAUCAGGAGGAACACCGGUGGCGAAGGCGGGUCUCUGGGCAACAACUGACGCUGAGGAGCGAAAGCGUGGGGAGCGAACAGG
rnacentral:rRNA from 1 species